rnacentral:rRNA from 1 species
AGUGAACGCUGGCGGUAGGCCUAACACAUGCAAGUCGAACGGCAGCACCGUAAGAGCUUGCUCUUCCGGGUGGCGAGUGGCGGACGAGUGGGGAGUACAUCGGCAUCUACUUUUUCGUGGGGGCUAACGUAGGGGACCUUACGCUAAUACCGCAUACGACCUACUGGUGAAAGCAGGGGAGCUUCGGCCCUUGCGCGAUUGAAUGCGCCGGCGGCGGAUUAGCUAGUUGGAGGGGUAGAGGCUUACCAUGGCGUUGAUCCGUAGCUGGUCUGAGAGGGUGACAGGCGACACUGGGACUGAGAGGCGGCCCAGACGCCGACGGGUGGCAGAAGGGGGGAAGACUGCACAAGGGGUGGCAGCCUGAUGAAGCAGCGCCGUGUGCGGGAUGACGGCCUUGGGGGUGAAGACCGCCUUCGGUCAUGACGAAGCUUUGUGUGACGGUAGUGGGUAAAGAAGCACCGGCUAACUACGUG